rnacentral:sRNA from 1 species
GCCGGGCAUGGUGGUGUGUGCCUGUAAUCCCAGCUACUCAGGAGGCUGAGGCAGGAGAAUCACUUGAACCCGGGAGGUGGAGGUUGCAGUGAGCCGAGAUCAUGCCACUGCACUCCAGCCUGAGUGACAGAGCGAGACUCUGUCUCAA